AUUGAACGCUGGCGGCAUGCCUUACACAUGCAAGUCGAACGGCAGCACGGGUGCUUGCACCUGGUCGCGAGUGGCGAACGGGUGAGUAAUACAUCGGAACGUACCUUAUCGUGGGGGAUAACGCAGCGAAAGCUGUGCUAAUACCGCAUACGCCCUGAGGGGGAAAGCGGGGGAUCGCAAGACCUCGCGCGAUUAGAGCGGCCGAUGCCUGAUUAGCUUGUUGGUGGGGUAAAAGCCCACCAAGGCGACGAUCAGUAGCUGGUCUGAGAGGACGAUAAGCCACACUGGGACUGAGACACGGCCCAGACUCCUACGGGAGGCAGCAGUGGGGAAUUUUGGACAAUGGGGGCAACCCUGAUCCAGCAAUGCCGCGUGAGUGAAGAAGGCCUUCGGGUUGUAAAGCUCUUUUGUCAGGGAAGAAACACCGGCUCUAACACAGUCUGGGAAUGACGGUACCUGAAGAAUAAGCACCGGCUAACUACGUGCCAGCAGCCGCCGUAA
rnacentral:rRNA from 1 species